rnacentral:rRNA from 1 species
CCUACGGGUGGCAGCAGUGAGGAAUAUUGGUCAAUGGGCGUAAGCCUGAACCAGCCAAGUCGCGUGAAGGAUGACUGCUCUAUGGGUUGUAAACCUCUUUUAUAAGGGAAUAAAGUGCGGGACGUGUCCCGUUUUGUAUGUACCUUAUGAAUAAGGAUCGGCUAACUCCGUGCCAGCAGCCGCGGUAAUACGGAGGAGCCGAGCGUUAUCCGGAUUUAUUGGGUUUAAAGGGUGCGUAGGCGGCCUUUUAAGUCAGGUGUGAAAGUUUGUGGCUCAACCGUAGAAUUGCGGUUGAUACUGGGAGGCUUGAGUAUGUUUGAGGCAGGCGGAAUGCGUGGUGUAGCGGUGAAAUGCUUAGAUAUCACGAAGAACCCCGAUUGCGAAGGCAGCUUGCCAAGCCGUGACUGACGCUGAUGCACGAAAGCGUGGGGAUCAAACAGGAUUAGAUACCCUGGUAGUC